rnacentral:lncRNA from 1 species
AUGACUUUGAGUGUGGGAUAAACAACAAGCAUGUAACGUCACUAAAACAAAGAGGCUGCUUGUGCAUUAAAUAAACGAGCGGGAAAUAGACAAAAUGGAACAGCAGUAUUUUCCAAUUAAAAAAUUCAUUGCACUUAUAAGUCACCUGUCAGUGAGGGAAUCCUCAAAUUCCAAAGAAGCUUGCUCAGCCUCUAAAGACGACCUCUUAUUCCAGUGGAGACUACCAGCUGCAUUCACACACCAAUCACAAUGCCAAAUUCAAUUGAGGUGCGGGGGGAUAAAAGUUGCUUUGCAACCUGAUCUCAGGCAGGAACCCAGCCAGUUUCUGUGCAGCAGUUGCUCAUCAAGAUUACGUGGAUCCAAUACCAGCUGUCCCACAGUGGAGCUCUGUGGCAUACAGGAAGAGCUUGGGUUUCUGUGCUCCAGGUUUGAAUCCAGACUUUGUU